GAUGAACGCUGACAGAAUGCUUAACACAUGCAAGUCAACUUGAAUUUGGGUUUUUAACUUAGGUUUGGGUGGCGGACGGGUGAGUAACGCGUAAAGAACUUGCCUCACAGCUAGGGACAACAUUUGGAAACGAAUGCUAAUACCUAAUAUUAUGAUAAUAGGGCAUCCUAUAAUUAUGAAAGCUAUAAGCGCUGUGAGAGAGCUUUGCGUCCCAUUAGCUAGUUGGAGAGGUAACGGCUCACCAAGGCGAUGAUGGGUAGCCGGCCUGAGAGGGUGAUCGGCCACAAGGGGACUGAGACACGGCCCUUACUCCUACGGGAGGCAGCAGUGGGGAAUAUUGGACAAUGGACCAAGAGUCUGAUCCAGCAAUUCUGUGUGCACGAUGAAGUUCUUCGGAAUGUAAAGUGCUUUCAGUUGGGAAGAAAGAAAUGACGGUACCAACAGAAGAAGUGACGGCUAAAUACGUG
rnacentral:rRNA from 1 species